GCCAGCAGCCAUAUCAAUCUGCAUCUCACAGCUGGCAGCCCACUGAAGCUCAGCAGGUGUGAGCCUGGUCAGUACCUGGAUGGGAGACCUCCUGGGAAAAACUAAGGUUGCUGCUGGAA
rfam:Lepisosteus oculatus linkage group LG1, whole genome shotgun sequence.